GGGGAGUUGCCCUGUCACAGUGGGAGUGACUCCCUGCCUUCUGCACUCUGAGAUAUUGCAAGAGCCUGCUGCAUUGCCUGAGCUGGGUUCAUGGCCAGGGGAGAGCAUUAAAAGUUCCCUCUGCCCUUGUACCCUGGUUUAACUCUGACUGAGAAGAUCCCUCUGAAUAUCUCUCAGGCAUUGGGCUUCCCUGGUGGCUUGGUGGUAAAGAAUCCACCUGCCAUUGCAGGAGAUGCGAGUUCCAUCCCUGGUCCCGGGAGAUCCCCUGGAGAAGGGAAUGGCAACCCACUCCAGUAUUCUUGCCUGGAGAACCGUGAAGCCUGGUGGGCUACAGUCCACGGGGUCACAAAGAGUCUGAAAUGGCUUAGCGACUGAACAACAACGAUUUGCCGGUGGGGACAGACCAUCCGGAACUCCCUCUCCUUUGGGUGAAGCCUCGUGCCUGAGAGCCCCAUGGAGCUGUUUCACCUGCCUCCCUGGAUGUGCACAGUUGAUGAGCAUACCAUGCCCUACAGACUACAGUAAUCACCUGGACGGAGGUGCUGAGGCAGAGAAAAGCGGCACUGGAGAGAAGCUGCGGGUGAUGUCCAUUUCUUGCUUUCUCUAUUUCAGAGCCAGUCAUGCCUGGCCUUUUGGAAUGCAGCCGUCAUCCCUAAGGAAAAAAUUACGGCUGAGAACUGUGAAGGCUUCCUGUCCUGUGGUUGAAGGAAGAGCAGACUCCACGGCCGUUUCUUUUUCCUUCAUUUUUCAAACAAAGAAGCUAAAGGAGAACCUCAGGCCCCCCAAAAAAAUCGCGUUCCUUGCAGGACUUUUCAAGACUUGGUGGACAGAUUUAUGUAAACAAAUCACUGUUCCUCCUUUGGUAACCUCAAUCCUGAGAGUGAACACGGGUCUCUCAUAGAUUUUUGCUCUUUCCAUCACUGUAGAAGUUUCAGACUGUGCUCAGCAAGACAUCACAAAAUUACUCAGCCAUAAAAAGAGGGAAAACAUGCCACUUGCAGUGACAGGGACGGGCCUAGAGAUUGUCAUAUCGAAUGAAGUGAGUCAGGUGGAGAAAGACAAAUGCUGUAUGAGAUCUCUUGUAUGCUGCUGCUGCUGCUGCUAAGUCGCUUCAGUCGUGUCUGACUGUGCGACCUCAUAGACGGCAGCCCACCAGGCUCCCCUGUCCCUGGGAUUCUCCAGGCAAGAACAUUGGAGUGGGUUGCCAUUUCCUUCUCCAAUGCAUGAAGGUGAAAAGUGAAAGCGAAGUAACUCAGUCCUGUCCGACUCUGAGUGACCCCAUGGACUGCAGCCUACUGGGCUCCUCCGUCCACGGGAUUUUCCAGGCAAGAGUACUGGAGUGGGGUGCCAUCGCCUUCUCCCGAUCUCUUGUAUAUGGAAUCUCAAAAAGUGGUGCAGACAACUUGUCUACAAAAUGAAGAAUCACAGGCAGGAAACAAGCUUAUGAUUACCAAAGGGAAAGGGAGAGGCAGGCAUACACUGGGGGACUGGGACUGACACACACACACUAGUAUAUAUAAGACAGAGUCAGCAGGAGCCUACUGCAGCAUGUGGAACACUACUCGAGCUCUGUGCUGACUGAAUGGAAAGGAAAUCCACAAGAGCGGGGACGUGUGCGUACGCACAGCUGAACCACUCUGCUGCACCUGCACUGCUGGCAGGUUCGUUACCACCUGAGCCACCAGGGAAGCCCCAGAAAGUAACAGAACAUUGUCAAUCAACUACUACAACAAUACAAAUUAAUUUUAAAAACAGACCUUCUGAGAUGGAGGAAAAUUAAAGAAAGAAACGAUCCAUGGUGUAUUCCCUUACCUGCCCUAAACUGGCAUCAUUUUGGGCACCAUCCAGGGAGGAAAAUCAGCCUAUAGAAAGAAAGAGACGAUCUGAAGCGGAUUUAAGGA
rnacentral:lncRNA from 1 species